rnacentral:lncRNA from 1 species
GUUCAUCUGGACGGAUGCUGCGGCGGAUGCGGACUGGCCGGCCGUGGCGUCUUCGGCUCGUGCCUAACUCUCGUCGGCCGGAGAACUUCCUUUUGUUGCCGCCCUCCUGCUUGGAACCUUCCCAUCCGCGAGUUGGAAACGGGUGGGUCAAGCAAGCUUUGGCCGUGCUUGUUUGGAUAGGAUGAAGACGAUCUACGGAUCUAGGCGUAGAAACAAAGUCCAGAGGAAAAGGUUGUGGCCGGUGAACGUGAACCCGGCUGAUGCCGAUAUUGGCAUCGUGCGUGCAUGGUCUAGUGAGCAUCAUGGGCUGAGGACGGUCCAGUUCAGCAGCCGGGAAAGGAGAAGAUGAAUGAGGACAUGUUGUUUGGAGCGUGUUGCAAUUGCAGAUUAUCUAUGGAUUAGUGAUGCGUCAAGCUUGGCACCGAGCUGUGCAAGUUGCGACUUCUUUGCUAGUUUGUUGGAAGACUGGCUGCAACUUGUGAGUGGUAAGGUGAAUAAAGUUAUAUGAUGGAUUUUGUUUGUAUCUAUUAUAUAUAGUAUACGAAACAAGUUCAAAUUGUCUACCUCUCACGUAUUAGAGCAUCUACAACCGCAGACACUAAAUUUGAUCCCUCAAACGUCCGUGAACAUGACCAGACGAGUCCGCAAGCACCAACUGGUCACACCUUAUAUUUGAUGCUUUGUAUUCGAGUACCUUAUAUCUUAUUCCCUACAUUUAUACAAACCAUGCAAAAGAAAAC